rnacentral:rRNA from 1 species
GAGUUUGAUCGUGGCUCAGAUUGAACGCUGGCGGUAUGCUUAACACAUGCAAGUCGGACGGUAACAGGAGAGAGCUUGCUCUUUUGCUGACGAGUGGCGGACGGGUGAGUAAUGCGUAGGAAUCUGCCUAGUAGUGGGGGACAACGUGUGGAAACGCACGCUAAUACCGCAUACGCCCUACGGGGAAGGACGGGGAGUCUUCGGACCUCGCGCUAUUAGAUGAGCCUACGUUAGAUUAGCUAGUUGGUGGGGUAAA